rnacentral:lncRNA from 1 species
AUAAGCAACACGACGGGUGCCACAUGUGGAGCAGGAUCUGCUUACCCUUCCGGAGCACCUGAGAUCACCCCUAGUUUUUUGGUGGGGUUCGUGUUGUUUAUUCUUUAGUUUUCCAUGUUGUGUCGUAUGUGCUGUUGUUUGUCCUUUUCAUUUUUAGCCAUGGCGUUGUCAGUUUGUUUUAGAUUUAUGGGUUUGACUGUCCCUUUGGUAUCUUUCGUCCCUCUUUUA